GCCUAAUACAUGCAAGUAGAACGCUGAAGAGAGGAGCUUGCUCUUCUUGGAUGAGUUGCGAACGGGUGAGUAACGCGUAGGUAACCUGCCUUGUAGCGGGGGAUAACUAUUGGAAACGAUAGCUAAUACCGCAUAACAAUGGAUGACCCAUGUCAUUUAUUUGAAAGGGGCAAAUGCUCCACUACAAGAUGGACCUGCGUUGUAUUAGCUAGUAGGUGAGGUAACGGCUCACCUAGGCGACGAUACAUAGCCGACCUGAAAGGGUGAUCGGCCACACUGGGACUGAGACACGGCCCAGACUCCUACGGGAGGCAGCAGUAGGGAAUCUUCGGCAAUGGGGGCAACCCUGACCGAGCAACGCCGCGUGAGUGAAGAAGGUUUUCGGAUCGUAAAGCUCUGUUGUAAGUCAAGAACGAGUGUGAGAGUGGAAAGUUCACACUGUGACGGUAGCUUACCAGAAAGGGACGGCUAACUACGUGCCAGCAGCCGCGGUAAUACGUAGGUCCCGAGCGUUGUCCGGAUUUAUUGGGCGUAAAGCGAGCGCAGGCGGUUUGAUAAGUCUGAAGUUAAAGGCUGUGGCUCAACCAUAGUUCGCUUUGGAAACUGUCAAACUUGAGUGCAGAAGGGGAGAGUGGAAUUCCAUGUGUAGCGGUGAAAUGCGUAGAUAUAUGGAGGAACACCGGUGGCGAAAGCGGCUCUCUGGUCUGUAACUGACGCUGAGGCUCGAAAGCGUGGGGAGCGAACAGGAUUAGAUACCCUGGUAGUCCACGCCGUAAACGAUGAGUGCUAGGUGUUGGAUCCUUUCCGGGAUUCAGUGCCGCAGCUAACGCAUUAAGCACUCCGCCUGGGGAGUACGACCGCAAGGUUGAAACUCAAAGGAAUUGACGGGGGCCCGCACAAGCGGUGGAGCAUGUGGUUUAAUUCGAAGCAACGCGAAGAACCUUACCAGGUCUUGACAUCCCGAUGCUAUUUCUAGAGAUAGAAAGUUACUUCGGUACAUCGGUGACAGGUGGUGCAUGGUUGUCGUCAGCUCGUGUCGUGAGAUGUUGGGUUAAGUCCCGCAACGAGCGCAACCCCUAUUGUUAGUUGCCAUCAUUCAGUUGGGCACUCUAGCGAGACUGCCGGUAAUAAACCGGAGGAAGGUGGGGAUGACGUCAAAUCAUCAUGCCCCUUAUGACCUGGGCUACACACGUGCUACAAUGGUUGGUACAACGAGUUGCGAGUCGGUGACGGCAAGCUAAUCUCUUAAAGCCAAUCUCAGUUCGGAUUGUAGGCUGCAACUCGCCUACAUGAAGUCGGAAUCGCUAGUAAUCGCGGAUCAGCACGCCGCGGUGAAUACGUUCCCGGGCCUUGUACACACCGCCCGUCACACCACGAGAGUUUGUAACACCCGAAGUCGGUGAGGUAACCUUUUGGAGCCAGCCGCCUAAGGUGGGAUAGAUGAUUGGGGUGAAGUCAUAACA
rnacentral:rRNA from 1 species